rnacentral:ncRNA from 18 species
UGGGGUCAACUUUGGUACGGAAGCAGAUCGAAAAAUAGCUACUUUGUUAUUUGUCGUUGCUUUAAAAAGUCAACGGCAACUAAGCAUGCUUCAAGAAUUAGCUUUUUUCUGUUCAGAUCUCGAAAACAUUCAGCGGCUCAGUGAUUGUCGAACAAUAGAUGAAGCGCAAAAAAUUCUGGCUCAAGCCUAAAGUUACGUCUGAAAAAAUCAAUUCAAUUUGAAAUGUUCAAUAAUUAUUGAAAUAAUUUUAUAUUAAAAAAUAAAAUAUUUUAAUUUGAUAGAUUAAACAAAAAAGAUAAGAAGAUUCCUUGACAAAAAAUAGGCCCUAUGAUAAAUUUAAAGUAACUUGUGACAAAGUCGUGCAUGGAUGCACUAAAAAGACACCCUAUUGUGGUAGGGUGUCUUUUUUUGC